AAUACUGAAUGAAAAAUCGUAGUUUCCAGAUUAAUAAUCAGACCAUUGAAGCAUUUUUAACUAUUAACUCCUCAACAUCUCGAAUUGAUCUCCCUGAAGAUGGUCACAAUGAUGACCGAAAGCUAGGAUGGUACAAUAAAUGAGAUAGAUGAUAUAGAGUUUGACUACCAUACCCGAUAUCCUUAAAUUGUCAAUUUACUGUAGUCGAUAUAAA